GACGAACGCUGGCGGCGCGCCUACACAUGCAAGUCGAACGAGCGAGAGAGAGUUUACUUCUUCGAUCGAGUGGCGAACGGGUGAGUAACGCGUGAGGAACCUGCCUCAAAGAGGGGGACAACAGUUGGAAACGACUGCUAAUACCGCAUAAGCCCACGGGUCGGCAUCGACCUGAGGGAAAAGGAGCAAUCCGCUUUGAGAUGGCCUCGCGUCCGAUUAGCUAGUUGGUGAGGUAACGGCCCACCAAGGCGACGAUCGGUAGCCGGACUGAGAGGUUGAACGGCCACAUUGGGACUGAGACACGGCCCAGACUCCUACGGGAGGCAGCAGUGGGGAAUAUUGCACAAUGGGGGAAACCCUGAUGCAGCGACGCCGCGUGGAGGAAGAAGGUCUUCGGAUUGUAAACUCCUGUUGUUGAGGAAGAUAAUGACGGUACUCAACAAGGAAGUGACGGCUAACUACGUGCCAGCAGCCGCGGUAAAACGUAGGUCACAAGCGUUGUCCGGAAUUACUGGGUGUAAAGGGAGCGCAGGCGGGAAGAUAAGUUGGAAGUGAAAUCUAUGGGCUCAACCCAUAAACUGCUUUCAAAACUGUUUUUCUUGAGUAGUGCAGAGGUAGGCGGAAUUCCCGGUGUAGCGGUGGAAUGCGUAGAUAUCGGGAGGAACACCAGUGGCGAAGGCGGCCUACUGGGCACCAACUGACGCUGAGG
rnacentral:rRNA from 1 species